UGGCUGGAGCAGGUGGGAGUAUGCCUUUCUGGUUUAUAUUUUAUCAUGAUGAAGACAGCCAACUUUUUCUCUGCUUCCUGGUGGCCAUGUCCUGAGUGGCUUUCCUCCACCUCACAUUUAUGCCAUGGUCUGCCUCACCUAAGGGCCAUGAGGAACGGAAUUGACUAUCUAUGGAUGGAGACCUUAGAAAUUGGAUGUAAUUCAUAUUUCUUCUGAGCACGAUAAAGCAAAACGGAAUGAAAACAAUCAAUAACGUGAAGAGAGAGCCUACAG